ensembl:lncRNA
CUCCAUUGUAGCCCUAUACAAGAUCAAAGGUGCACGAGCAGCCUGUGACAACUACAGAGGCAUCUCACUACUCUCCACUGCUGGAAAGAUCCUCUCUCAUGUUAUACUCAACAGACUCCUGUCAUCUGUUUCAGAGCAGAACCUGCUUGAAUCAAAAUGUGGCUUCCGACCAGAUUGCAGCACAAUCGACAUGGUCUUCACAGUGAGGCAAAUGCAGGAAAAAAUUCCUUGAGCAGAGCCUAAGUCUCUACAUUGUCUUCAUAGACACGACAAAGGUGUUCAACACAGUGAACAGGGACGCAUUGUGGGUGAUCCUUAGCAAGCUCCGUUGCCCAGCAAAAUUCAUCAAACUGAUCCAGCUCUUUCAUAUCGACAUGACAGGGGAAGUCAUAUCUGGUGGAGAGACUUCUGAUCACUUCAACAUCUCCAAUGGUGUGAAACAAGGCUGUGUCCUCGCUCUGGUACUUUUCAACCUAUACUUCACCCAAGUAUUAUGACAUGCCGUGAUGGAUCUAGACCUGGGUGUCUACAUCAAAUACUGACUGGAUGGCUCACUAUUUGACCUUUGCCGCCUGACUGCAAAAACAAAGACAACAGAGAGACUCAUCCUGGAAGCUCUCUUUGCAGAUGACUGUGCUCUCAUGGCCCACCAAGAAAAUCAUCUCCAAACCAUUGUGGACAGGUUCUCUACCACAACAAAACUGUUUGGCCUGACUAUCAGCCUCAGCAAAACAGAGGUGCUGUUCCAACCUGCACCAGGGAGGCCAACGAAUCAACCGUGCAUUACAAUUGACGGCACGCAGCUUUGCUGCAAAGUCCUCCAACACAGAGGUGUAAGCACUGUGACGAAGCUCAAAGUGUAUAACGCAGUGGUACUCAGCUCGCUCCUGUAUGGUUACGAGACAUGGACACUGUACCAAAAGCACAUGAAACAGUUGGAGCAAUUCUACCAACUCUCUCUCCGGUCAAUCAUGAGGAUCCGCUGGCAGGACCGAAUCACCAACCAGGAAGUCCUCGACAGAGCCAACUCCACCAGCAUCGAAGUCCUGGUCCUCCAAACCCAGCUACGAUGGUCUGGACACGUCCUCCGCAUGGACCCACAGCGAAUACCAAGACAGGUAUUCUAUGGUGAACUGUCAGCUGGACUCAGGAAACAAGGCCGACCAAAGAAAAGAUUCAAGGAUCAGCUAAAGUCCAACUUGAAGUGGGCUGGCAUUACACCAAAGCAACUAGAACUCGCUGCCUCUGUCAGAAGCAGCUGGCAAGCCCACAUAAACCAUGCCACCACCACUUUUGAAGAUGAACGAAGUCAAUGUCUUGCCGCUUCGCAUGAACGCCGACACCAGACUGUAACAGCACCUCCCGUAACAACUGGCAUCCCAUGUCCCAUGUGCCACAGACUCUGCGCCUCAGCCUUUGGACUUCAAAGCCACAUGAGGGAACCUGCCUGGAAAGGGACAGUCAGAGGACAGUGGACAGAGAAGUAAUUUGCAGAUAUUUAUGCAAAAACCAAUAGGUAUCAUAGAGGUGCUGGAUUUGAGGAAGCCCAUGGAAGUAAGGAGGCCAAGGUGAGAUUUAGGGAGCUGAUGAAUGGGCAGAGCAUGCACGUGGGCAUGGAAAACUCCCUUUAUCUUGGAUCCAAAGACCUUCAGAGACCUAUCACAGAAAAAUUUUUGUGCUAGAAACUUUGCUUCCCCAGGGCUCCUUCAUCUGAUGGACUAGUUCUUUUAUGGAAUCUCCUUUUAAGAAAGCAUUCAUGUCAACCAAGCUCACUUUUAACUAUGAUCAGCUCUAAAUACCUUCUUUCCCUGAUCCCUCUAAAUUUUGUGCUUUUUAUGUUUUCUUUCACCAGUACAUUUGCGACUCCUUGAGGGCAGGAAUGAUCUUUCUUUUUGUUUAUAUUUGUAUGGCCAUUUUAACCGAAUCUGGCAACUGAUUCAGGUAACAGAAGCACAAAACACAAAAUCAUGACAGUAAAUCAUUUCAUUAGAAAAAUAGAGAACACUUCCACCCACCCCCACCUUUCUAUUUUCCCCCUGAUUUAAAAUGCAAUAGCAAUUCACCUAAUAUUACCUACAUAGGGGGCACAAACUGGGGAACUGCAUAUUCCUGUUUCUUCAUUUGUUGUUUUAUUGCACCCUAUUAUCAAAUGAAAGCAAUCUGUCUUAUUCACAUCCAGGAAGAGUGGUUGUUAACUAUAGGAAAUUGUCUCAAACAGUAGGUCAAUUAAUUACUGCAUUUUUAAGCUCCCUCUUGAAAAACAGCAAUUAAUUUGACUGCAUUUCAGUGCAUUUCUUCUGCGAGACUUAUCCAUUUGAAAUCACUGUAACUCUCAGCAGAUAGGGAUGCUUUAUUAUUGGUGACAGCUUUUCAUGAGAUCAUAUUCUAGUUUUUAAUGAAUGCAGAGACUGUUUUUAGUUAUCUGUGGCACCUUUUAUUAUUAUAAAUAUACCCCCAAAGUCUGAAAAAUCACGAAUUUAAAUGAAAAAUAGAGGCAUUCAAUAUUUUAUAUUUCCCACUGUACUGUAUAUAUAUAUUUUUUCAGUCAUGUGACCUUGGGCAAGUCACCUAAGUUUUUAGAACCUCAGGAUCUUUAAAAAAUGAAGGAGUUAAACUAUGAUACCAGAUUUAAGUUCUGUGGUAUCAUGAUAUUCUGCUUAAUGUGCUUUAGUGGAUGCAUUUGAUUUGGACUAUGAAGUUAUAGACAUACCACAAAAACUACUCCCUCUACCACUGCAGAGAUGAUAUAGUUAUAAAAAUAAAAAUUGAGCUGGAAUGAAUUUAGAUAUGAUA